rnacentral:lncRNA from 1 species
ACAGCAAGGGGCUGGCACUCACCUGAACGCAGAACCGCAGUGGACAGACCAUCUUGUGACCCUGGACACCCUGAUCUCUUCUAGAACAGAGAAUGAAUCAGCUUGCUACACAGAUGGAUAAGGUGUCCCCCAAGAUGUUCUUGAUGAAGAAAGAAGCUCCCAUGCAAGACCUUGCUAUCCCUUCUCUGUAUGCAGUGUCUUCGGAGGAGAUCUGCCCAUUGUGAUAUAGGAUCCUUAGCUAAUCUGUUGAGAUACUCCCCUAAAUGAACAAACAGAGAUGCUCCUGUAAUGUCGACUUAUAAUGGAUUUUUUUUCAUUGAUUAUGAGAUUAGAGUCUCAGCCCAAAUUGGCCCAUUUAGAAAAACAACAAUAAAGAAUUUUUGAAUUCUUC